UGGUCAAGUUAUUAAGGGUGCAGGGCGGAUGCCUUGGCACUAGGAGCCGAUGAAGGACGUGAUAAGCUGCGAUAAGCUUCGGGGAGUUGCACGUAAACUUUGAUCCGAAGAUUUCCGAAUGAGGAAACUCACUUAGAGUAAUGUCUAAGUAUCAUUAAGUGAAUACAUAGCUUAAUGAGGGGAACUCAGGGAACUGAAACAUCUAAGUACCUGAAGGAAGAGAAAGAAAUUCGAUUCCGUAAGUAGCGGCGAGCGAACGCGGAUUAGCCCAAACCAAUAAAGUUUUCUUUAUUGGGGUUGCGGACAUAUCAUAACGAAGAGGUAUCGUAAUUGAAGAGGUUUGGAAAGACUCACCACAGAAGGUAAUAGUCCUGUAUGUUAAACGAGAAGACUUCAGAUAUGAUCCAGAGUACCACGGGACACGUGAAACCCUGUGGGAAGCAGGAGGGACCACCCUCCAAGGCUAAAUACUACCUAGUGACCGAUAGCGUAUAGUACCGUGAGGGAAAGGUGAAAAGAACCCCGGGAGGGGAGUGAAAUAGAACCUGAAACCCUGCACUUACAAGCUGUGGAAGCACAUUUCUUGUGUGACCGCGUACUUUUUGUAGAACGGGCCAACGAGUUACGUUAAGUAGCAAGGUUAAGCACUUAAGGUGCGGAGCCGUAGCGAAAGCGAGUUUUAACUGAGCGUUCAGUUACUUGACGUAGACCCGAAACCGGGCGACCUACCCAUGAGCAGGAUGAAGCGAAAGUAAAAUUUCGUGGAGGUCCGAACCCACGAGCGUUGAAAAGCUCGGGGAUGACUUGUGGGUAGCGGUGAAAUUCCAAUCGAGCCCGGAGAUAGCUGGUUCUCCCCGAAAUAGCUUUAGGGCUAGCCUCAAGGUGAGAGAUACGGAGGUAGAGCACUGAAUGUCCUAGGGGGUAUUGCACCUACCGA
rnacentral:rRNA from 1 species